rnacentral:rRNA from 1 species
AACGAACGCUGGCGGCGUGGAUAAGACAUGCAAGUCGAACGAUGAUUGCAGGGUAGCAAUAUUUUGCAGUCAGAGUGGCGUAAGGGUGCGUAACACGUGGGUUAUUUGCCCUGAAGUGGGGGAUAACUCCGAGAAAUCGGAGCUAAUACCGCAUGUGAUCGAAAGAUCAAAGCUGGGUCGCAAGACCUGGCGCUUCAGGAUAAGCCCGCGACCUAUCAGCUAGUUGGCAGGGUAACGGCCUACCAAGGCAAAGACGGGUAGCUGGUCUGAGAGGACGACCAGCCACACUGGAACUGAGACACGGUCCAGACACCUACGGGAGGCUG